AGCAGCCGCGGUAAUUCCAGCUCCAAUAGCGUAUAUUAAAGUUGUUGCAGUUAAAAAGCUCGUAGUUGAAUUUCGGGAUCAGUUCGCUGGUCGUGCCUCUGGUAUGUACUGGUGUUACUGGUUCCUCCCUUCUGACGAACUGUCAUGUCAUUAGUUUGGUGUGGCGGGGAAUCAGGACUGUUACUUUAGAAAAAUUAGAGUGUUUAAAGCAGGCUCGCGCUUGAAUACAUUAGCAUGGAAUAAUGAAAUAGGACGUUCGAUCCUAUUUUGUUGGUUUCUAGGAUUGACGUAAUGAUUAAUAGGGAUAGUUGGGGGCAUUAGUAUUCAAUUGUCAGAGGUGAAAUUCUUGGAUUUAUUGAAGACUAACUACUGCGAAAGCAUUUGCCAAGGAUGUUUUCAUUAAUCAAGAACGAAAGUUAGGGGAUCGAAGACGAUCAGGUACCGUCGUAGUCUUAACCAUAAACUAUGCCGACUAGGGAUCGGAUGAUGUUAAUUUUUAAUGA
rnacentral:rRNA from 1 species